GGGGUCUUCCACUUCGUUGUCUAUGUUUUUACAUUCGAGUUCGACCAGAUACGAUUUACGAAUCUGUUUCAUGAUCUAUCUAUCGCAUUCGUUAUACAUUUAUUUUCAUCGUUAAUACGAUCAGCCAACUCCUCAACUGCAGCUAUUUCUGCAGAACUAAAUUUAUGAAGGAUACAGAAGAGUGUGUGCAUAAGGUAUGAAAGAUAUCCAUGUCACGAAAUACACAAACAGAUGGACGUGGUCCCAAGCAUAGUAACCACGGGCACAGCUAUGAGAGAAUGAGUUUGUAUGUAUUUAUUUCUACUUUCAAAGGAUUUUUCAACUCAGGUAUAUGAGACACUGAAUCAGACCAAACAUCGCACCAAAUGGCAAGCCUCUUUUACUUGAGUUCCUCAUGAAUUGAAGUCCACAAGGAAUGCCUCCGCAACAGCAAGAUCAACGAAACCAUCAUCAAACUCAACUGCUAAUCUUCACCUACUUUGUGUUGUCAACACUCAACUACUAGUUUCUUACAGAUCCAGUAUUUGAUGUUUCUACACGUAGCCAACCAUCAACAACCAUGAAUCUAGUCUUCACAGCUUCCCUUCUUUGCCAGCAAUCAUCAAUUAACUUCAGCAUCAUAGCAUGAAAUCAUCAUUUUCAUGUGCCAUCUCAAUCAUUUGCAGCCUUUACUGCUCUUCUUAGGCUGACAACAUGCAUACUGUUGUGCAAGCCUUUUAUUAUACUUUUCAUGCCAUCGCCUCAUUAUGAACUGUCAAGUUUUAUUUGCAUUUACGUUAAAAAAACGCCGUUCAGUAGUUAUCAUGCCUCCGUAUGGGAUUAAAAACAUAAUGCCCACAGCCGAGUGAAAGAGGGCAUCUCGUAAUCUUUGCGGAUCCAAAACAGCUGAUGGCGAUGGCAGUCGGUGCAACGUGGAACUUCUCGUCUGUUUUGGUAUUGUUUUGGGUGUGUUGUUUGUGUGAGUUAACCCGUUGGCUGCCACCCAUUUUGCUCCCAUUUUUUUUUUAGCUGUAGGGACCGCGCGCACUGCUCUGCCCUAUGGGGUAGGGCAGUGCUCCGCCGCAAGGCGGUUAGGCAAUGCACCAGUAGGGACUUCUCCUUGUUCGAUGCGGUGAUGGUUUCCUGAGGGUGUGCAUUCCCUGUAAAGGUUUCCAUCGCCGUGUCACCCCGGACUUGUCUU
rnacentral:lncRNA from 1 species